rnacentral:sRNA from 1 species
GCCGGGCGCGGCGGUGCUCGCCUGUCAUCCCAGCAUCUUGGGAGGCUGAGGCAGGAGGACGGCGAGUUCAAAACCAGCCUCAGCGAUAGGGAGGCGCUCAGCAACUCAGGGAGACCCUGUCUCUA